rnacentral:rRNA from 1 species
UACGACUACAUAUCAGGCAUAUCAAUAAGCGGAGGAAAAGAAACUAACUAGGAUUCCCUCAGUAACGGCGAGUGAAGCGGGAAGAGCUCAAAUUUGAAAUCUUCAAGGUUUUACCUUGACGAAUUGUAGUUUAAAGAAGUGUUUUCUGUUGGAGUUUUGGUAAAAGUUCUUUGGAAUAGGACAUCAUAGAGGGUGAGAAUCCCGUAUUUGACCAGUUACUUUCCAGCUGUGUGAUACACUUUCAAAGAGUCGGAUUGUUUGGGAAUGCAGUCCAAAGAUGGGUGGUAAAUUUCAUCCUAAAGCUAAAUAUUGGCGAGAGACCGAUAGCGAACAAGUACCGUGAGGGAAAGAUGAAAAGAACUUUGAAAAGAGAGUUAAACAGUACGUGAAAUUGUCAAAAGGGAAGCGUUUGACACCAGUGUUGUUUAGUUGAAAAUCAAUUCAAUAGUUUUUGAUUCUAAGUAGUAUUGACUUCAUCAGCUUGCUGCUUUCUUCUCAGAAAUUAUUGAAUGCACUUUUCAGUUAACAAGUCAACAUCAAUUUCUUUUGUUGUAAAAGGGUAAGAGGAAGGUGGCUUGCGCUUCGGCUCAAGUGUUUAUAGCCUUUUAUCUCUGCAAUCGGAGAGAUUGAGGUCUGCAGCGUAGAUCCUUCGGGGUUAGAUACAUUGGUGCUAAGCUAUAGCCUUGUAUAGACAACUUGUUGACUAUGCUCAGUCAUGUAGCUUACUCGCUGAUGCUAUUUUACCUACGCUUAGGAUGUUGACUGAUAUGUAGUCGU